AUGAACAUCGCCCUCUUGACCCGUUGGCUCUGGCGCAUUGCCAAUGGGGAUGGAGGUCUCUGGCUUACUAUCAUCCAGAACAAGUACUUGCGUGGGCAGCCUCUCGCAUUCUGCCAACGCUCAGGCGGCUCCCAGUUUUGGCAGGCCGUCGUCCAGCUGUUGCCUGUACUGCGCAUUGGCACAUCCAUCUCGGUGGGCACUGGGUCCUCGACCCUGUUUUGGCUGGAUAGGUGGCUUGGUGACACCCCCCUAGCCGCGCGUUUCCCAGUGCUCUUCGACAUUGUCGUUGACCCUCGGGUCUCUGUCGAGACGGCCCUUAUUGACUUAGGGCGCCUCGUGUUCCGCCGCCCCUUUGGUCCUGCUGACGUGGCAGCCUGGGAUGCCCUCCUCCAGGACGUCGCCCUCCUCCCUAUGGACGUGGCCGACUCUUGGACGUCAUCUCUUGGCGUCUGGAACCCUCCGGCUGCUUCUCCACCAAAUCCCUCUACUCGGCUAUAG
rnacentral:rRNA from 1 species